UACGGAGGGAGCUAGCGUUGUUCGGAAUUACUGGGCGUAAAGCGCACGUAGGCGGCUUUUUAAGUCAGGGGUGAAAUCCUGGAGCUCAACUCCAGAACUGCCUUCGAUACUGGAAGACUCGAGUCCGGGAGAGGUGAGUGGAACUGCGAGUGUAGAGGUGAAAUUCGUAGAUAUUCGCAAGAACACCAGUGGCGAAGGCGGCUCACUGGCCCGGUACUGACGCUGAGGUGCGAAAGCGUGGGGAGCAAACAGG
rnacentral:rRNA from 1 species